rnacentral:misc_RNA from 1 species
UAGAGUUGUAAAACUCCCAAACCCAUGUGAACAUACCUGUUGCCUCGGCGGCCUACCCGGCAGCUACCCUGUAGCUACCCUGUAGUCCGCCGAAGGAUUUCAAAACUCUUGUUUUCAGUUGUAUCUCUGAGACAAAAACAAAUAAAUCA